GUGCUCUUUCGAUCUACAAUUCCUAUCGAGUGACGGGUAGAAUCCUUUGUAGACGACUUAAAUAUGCGACAGGGUAUUGUAAGC